CCCUACGGGGCGCAGCAGGCGCGAAAACUUCACACUGUGCGAAAGCACGAUGAGGGAAUCCCAAGUGCUUGCUCGUAAGAGUAAGCUGUUUUUAUGUUUAAAACGCAUAGAGAGUAAGGGCUGGGUAAGACGGGUGCCAGCCGCCGCGGUAAUACCUGCAGCUCAAGUGGUGACCGCUAUUAUUGGGCCUAAAACGUUCGUAGCCGGCUUAAUAAAUGCCUGGGUAAAUCGUGUAGCUCAACUAUACGAAUUCCGGGUAGACUGUUAAGCUUGAGACCGGGAGAAGCUAGAGGUACUCCUGGGGUAGAGGUGAAAUUCUGUAAUCCUAGGGGGACCACCAGUGGCGAAGGCGUCUAGCUAGAACGGGUCUGACGGUGAGGGACGAAGCCCUGGGGCGCAAACCGGAUUAGAUACCCGGGUAGUCCAGGGUGUAAACGCUGCUUGCUUGAUGUUAGUUGGGCUCCGAGCCCAAUUAGUGUCGGAGAGAAGUUGUUAAGCAAGCUGCCUGGGAAGUACGGCCGCAAGACUGAAACUUAAAGGAAUUGGCGGGGGAGCAC
rnacentral:rRNA from 1 species